AAUGAGUCAGUAAGUUAAUAAUGUAUAGCAAGUUUAAAGCGUUUAGCUAAAGACAAUUUAAAGUUAUAUAUAUUAAACCUGAAGCCAAGUGAUCUAACCAUGAGCAGGUCGAUAACUCAGUAACAUGUUUUUGGAGGACCGAACCCGUAUAUGUAGCAAAAUAUUGGGAUGACUUGUGGGUAGGGGUGAAAGGCCAAUCAAACUUGGCGAUAGCCGGUUUUUCACGAAAAGUAUUUAAGUACUACGUUACUAAAGUAAGUUAUAUGUAUAGUAACAAACUAAACAAAGGGAUCCAUAAAAUUUACUGAGUUUAAUUUAACUUCGAAUUACAACUUCAUUUUAGUAAUAGCCAGUCUUUGGGCGAUAAGGUUCCAAGACAAAAGGGUAACAACCCAGAUCGUAUAUUAAGAUCUUUAAAUUAUAACUUAGUGGGGAAGGUUUAUAUUAAAUCAAAUAAAUUUGGAUAGGCUUAGAAGCAGCUUUUCAUUGGAGAAAGCGUUUUAGCUCAUUAUUCUUUUAAUGUAAACCAAAAAAUACUCGAGGCUCCAAGUUAUAUAUCGAAAUAGCGAAUCAAUUUUUUAUAUUUGAUGGUAGUGAAACGUUCUGUACUUAAUUUUUAAUAAUGUAAAUUUUAAAAAUCUAAUCAGAAGUGCUAAUGCUGACAUGAGUAACGAAAACUACGUUAAAAUCGUAGUCGCCUAUUGUUCAAGGUUUUCAACGUAAUUUUAAAUUCGUUGACUUAGUCGGUUCUUAAAAUUAUGGUAAAAACUUAUAAUUGAUAGAAAUUUUUUACCAGUUAUCUACACUUUUUAGUGUGUAAAAAUUUAGUAUUAUAUGUAUUUUUAAUGGUUAAAAUAUUAAAUAAUUAUAAAUUUCAGGAAAAAUGAUAACGUAAUUGACCGUACCUAAACCGACACAGGUGAACUUGUGAAAUACACAAAGGUGAAUGAGUAAAUUAAAUUGAAGGAACUCGGCAAAUUAACUCUGUAAGUUCGCAAUAAAGAGUACCAAUAAAUAUUUUAUUGGUGUCACAAAAUAGAAAGUAACGACUGGUUAUCAAAACCACAGGACUCUGCAAAUUAGUUAAUAAGAUGUAUAGAGUCUGACACCUGCCCGGUGCUUGAAGGUGAUAAAUGCAAGUUAUUGCUUACAUUGUAAUCCCAAGUAAACGGCGGUUCUAACAAUAAGAAUCCUUAGGUAGCGAAAUUCCUUGACGGGUAAGUUCCGUCCUGCAUGAAUGGUGUCACGAUUGCUUUACUGUCUCCAAUUUAACCUCAGUGAAAUUACAUAGCCUAUGAAAAUGUGGGUAACCUGCAGUAAGACGGAAAGACCCUAGAUCCUUUACUUUAGCUUUAUAUUGUAAGAAUCAAUAUUUUAUGUAGAAUAAAUGGAAGUAAUAAAAAUACAUAAUUGAAAUACCAUUUUUCAUAUUGCGUUCUUUCUAAAUUUAUCGUAAGUGUAAUGAUAGUAUAAAGUAGAAAGUUUACUUGGGACGAGUACCUCCUAAAAUGUAACGGAGGUGUACAAAGAUAAAUUACAGUUGUUUUAUUAAACAAUUAAGCGUAUAAUGGCAAUAAAUUUGUUUGACAGUUAGAUUGAUAAAUCGUACUGGGACGUAAGUCAGUCAUAGUGAUCCGGUACUAAUGUGUGGAAAUUGUAUCGCUCAACAAAUAAAAGGAACUCUAGGGAUAACAGAUUCAUCAUGGUUGAGAGCUCUUAUUAAUGCCAUGGUUUGAUACCUCGAUGUCGACUCAUCUUAUCCUGGAAUUGAAGUAGAUUCCAAGGGUCUAGUUGUUCGCUAGUGAAGAAGGUACGUGAGUUGGGUUCAGAACGUCGUGAGACAG
rnacentral:rRNA from 1 species